rnacentral:rRNA from 1 species
UACGGGGGGUGCGAGCGUUGUCCGGAAUCACUGGGCGUAAAGGGCGCGUAGGUGGUCUGAUAAGGGUGUGGUGAAAGCCCGGGGCUCAACCCCGGGUCGGCCGUGCCGACUGUUAGACUAGAGUGCUGUAGGGGCAGGCGGAAUUCCGGGUGUAGCGGUGGAAUGCGUAGAGAUCGGGAAGAACACCGGUGGCGAAAGCGCUCUGCUGGGCCGCAACUGACACUCAGGGACGAAAGCUAGGGGAGCGAAUGGG